UUUUUAAAAAUCCGAACCGGUACCCGACUCCAAACCCGAAACCUGAACCCGAACCCGAACCCGACGGAUUUUAAAAAUCCAUAUCCAAACCCGAACCCGACCAAAAAUCCGAAUCCCGAACCCGAACCCGAACCCAAAAAUUUAAACCCGAAACAAUUAUUUCUUUUUUCAAUAUUUCAAAAUAUAUUAUAUUAAAUCUAAAUUUUUAAAAUACAAAUUCAAAUAUAACAUCAAAUUUUUUUAUAUUUAUUAUAUAUAAUACAAGAUAAAUUCGGGUUCGGGUCGGGUUCGGGUCGGGUACAAUCAAAAUCCAUAUCCGAAUCCAUAUCCGUCGGGUUUCUAUUUUUGAUAUCUAUAUCCGAAUCCAUAUCCAUAUUCAUCGGAUAUAUCCGUUUCAU
rnacentral:lncRNA from 1 species